UACGGAAGGUGCAAGCGUUAAUCGGAAUUACUGGGCGUAAAGCGCGCGUAGGUGGUUUGUUAAGUUGGAUGUGAAAGCCCUGGGCUCAACCUAGGAACUGCAUCCAAAACUAACUCACUAGAGUACGAUAGAGGGAGGUAGAAUUCCACGUGUAGCGGUGAAAUGCGUAGAUAUGUGGAGGAAUACCAGUGGCGAAGGCGGCCUCCUGGAUCUGUACUGACACUGAGGUGCGAAAGCGUGGGUAGCGAACAGG
rnacentral:rRNA from 1 species